rnacentral:rRNA from 1 species
UACGGAGGGGCUAGCGUUGUUCGGAAUUACUGGGCGUAAAGCGCACGUAGGCGGCUUUGUAAGUUAGAGGUGAAAGCCCAGGGCUUAACCCUGGAAUUGCCUUUAAGACUGCAUCGCUAGAAUCGUGGAGAGGUGAGUGGAAUUCCGAGUGUAGAGGUGAAAUUCGUAGAUAUUCGGAAGAACACCAGUGGCGAAGGCGACUCACUGGACACGUAAUUGACGCUGA